GGGGGGGUCUCUGGGUGAAUUUUUGGGGCUCUCCAGGCAUUUCUACAAACCCAUGCUGAGGAGGGGGGUCAGCAAGUGGACGGCGCAGACGGCCGUGUUCCUCGCCUCCGCCUUCUUCCAUGAGUACCUGGUGAGCGUCCCCCUGAGAAUGUUCCGGCUCUGGGCCUUCAUGGGAAUGGCGGCGCAGAUUCCUCUGGCCUGGGUGGUGUCCCGAUUUCUCCGGGGGAAUUACAGGAACGCCGCCGUGUGGAUGUCGCU